ACGAAUCAAGUCCCUAACCCCAUCUCCUUCUUCUCAGACUCUCUUCUUCGGCGCGAGCGAAACGGAGCGGCGGAGAACUCAUCUUCUCCGGCCGAAAACUCCUCGCCGCUAGCACAUAUGGAUGAAGCAAACGCUCCUCCUCACAUCUCUCCUCUCUUAUUUCCCCAAAUCCAUUUUAGAUUCAAACCCUAAAUUCUACACUGAUUGAACUCAAACACCUCAUAAUCAUUACACAAGGGAAAAUUGGGCAUAAUGAAGAUUCAGAAACAUACCUGGAGGUGAAGGAUACGCGAGUAAAGAACAGAAAACUGGUAAUCUUCCGAUUGAACGAGAAGUGAACGACGAGGUCAACUAGGUGAUCCUUACGCUCUGCUUAGUGUGACACGAUUCUUGUCAUUAUUGAAGCUUACGCUUGACAUUAUCAUCAUGCUUGUGUUGUAGAGAUGAAGAAGUGUGGAUUGGCAGGUGACACUUGAAGGUGAACUGAAGAUGUAACGAGGAAAAGAUCUUUUGAUGAGGUUGAAGAUGUGAAUAGAAGUUGGAGAGGAUGCCGUUGCAAAGAGUGAAGGGAAUUGAAGGGUGAGAUGUUGAAGGUUCUGUGGUUUUGUGAAUUGAAGGGUGAAUAAAUGGGAGAAAGAGAGUGAGAAGUGAAGAAUAGUGAAAAAGGUUGAAGCCUGAGAUGGGAGAAUGAUGCAAAUCUUGGUUAUAUAGAGAUGAAGAAUUUCGAUUCUGAAGGGCUUUGGAAUGGUGUAAACAGAUUUGUAUUGGCUGGCAGCUAUAGGAUUUGGUUGAUUAACAUGGAAACACAGAUUUAGGGACAGACUUAGGAUGAAUUUAUGAUUUUUGUUGUAAUUUUGUGAUGAAGUUUGAAUAUUGUAAAGAUAAUUGGAAUUGAAUGAGUGUAUAGACAUUUGAACUUUGUAUUGA